AUGAAUACAAUUAUUUACAUUAAGAAAAAAACUCACCAAGAGGGAAAAUCCUCAGAAACUCUUCCUUCACUCUCUUUCUCGGUACAAACCUUCAAUUCUUCAUCUUCACUCUCAUCUUCAUGGACCAACCUUCAUCUUUCCCUGCUCUCAUCUCACUCUCCCCUUCGUAAUCAUUCUUCUUCCUUCUCUAUAAUAACUACAUCACACACCUUCAAACACCUUCUAACAACCUUCAUACUCACCACUAAACCUUCACAUUCUAAACUUUGA